AUUCUGCCCAUGCGGGGAAGGAUGAGAAGCUUCGACUAAGGUUCGGCUCGAGCGUCAGCGAGAGAGCGUUGCCGCAGGCAACGACCCGAAGGGCGAAGCGCGCAGCGCUGAG
rnacentral:sRNA from 1 species